AUCCAAACCAUCAAGAAAAGUAUAUACCUGAUCCUCCUGCAACAUAUUGUUAUAGUGUUUAAUAUCUUCUGGACAUUUCAUUGGGUUGGGACGACGAAAAUCAAUCUCACGCCAUAAGCCUUGGAGAUCAUUGUAAUACUUUUCCAAUCUCCCGCUACCUUGCCUAAGCCGUGCCACUCACCGUCGGAGUUCGUAAACCUGGGAUGCAUCACUUCCAUCAAAGUAAGUGGUUGCAAUUGCAUCCCAAACCUGCUUUGUUGUUAGAAAUCAGAUGAAGUUGCCAAUAAGGGAUGAGUCCAUUGAACCAAUCAGCCAUCCCUUUACAUUUGAAUUUUCAGUCUGCCACUUACGAAAUGAAGGUUGAUUGUUGGUGGCUGAGGAAGGUCUCCAUUGAGGUAUCCAAGUUUAUCUUUGCCUGCUACGUACAUCUCUACGACCUGUGACCAGAGGGCAUAAUUCGUGCCGUCUAGCUUGAUACCGAUCCCUGUAGCCAUUAAGUCAGCGGCUGAAGUAGGUGCUGAAGCUUUGCUCAAAACUUCUGUUAUCUUUGCUGUCAAUUUAGAUAUCAUAGAAGAAGAGUUUAUAUGAUGAGAUUCCAAGGGGUCAGAUUCACCAGAGUUCUCAUCAAAGUGAGGAUCCAUGUGUGCCAUGGAAGGGGUUGGGUUCUAUUUUUUACGGAUUUGGGUAGGGGAUCAGAUCCUCUGAUACCAAGAAGGAUUUAAGGUUCCAAUAAAUUUUCUUUUAUUGUGGUGCAUAAUAUCCUUCCCUAAUAUCCCAGAUUUUCUCCCUUAAUUGCUCAACUCACGUCAACAAAAGCC
rnacentral:lncRNA from 1 species